UUGACUACCGUGAGCGUGCUUGAUUGAUCCACAUGGUAAAGAAUAAUGAUGUUUUAUUUUUAAUGAAACCAAUUUUCAAGGAAAGAAAUGAAAUUAAGUAAGAACUUAAUAUUUCGUUUAAUGUCCAGGACGUAACGAGAUGACCGGAAUGCUCACAUUGUUUAAACACAUAUGUAAUAUAAGCAAGAACGAGCAUGGAUUCCUAGCAAUGCCACGGGACCAGGAUUAAGCAAAAGUAAAUAUUCAAUUAUAUCUAAAAUUACGUCCAAAUCAUUACGUUUGAUCGUUUAACGACGCGAAUGUAUCUAUAUAAGUGAAUUUACAUUUGUAUUUUCAUCUUCUUUUUCUAUUUAUCUUUAUACUCGUGAAUGUGUGAAUCAGAUUAAUUAACCCUAUACACACACACACACACACAUGUAGAGAUACACAUACAGAACAUGUGUUGAUAUGUUUUAAUUAUUACGAAUGUUUAAACGGAAAACCUCUCUAUAUGUAGGAUGUAUUUAGGGUUAAUAGAUGUAUAUAUAUGUAUAAGUAUAUAAGUGUGUAUAUGUGUGUAUAAUCAUAAAAAUACAUAUAUACAUGUGUGUGUGUACGUAUUAAUAUUGAUGUAUAACUAUAAUUUGCCUUUGUAUUCAUCUGUAUACAUGUAGAUAUUUAGAAAAAGUUAAAAUUAACCCCUUGCUUUCGAUGUCCUCUCGAACGUUCAGAGCUUCAAUUGAUUUAUUUAUAUUUGAUUUAGACGAAUUUGCAAACAUUGAAGAAAUAUUCUUUUGCAAAAAAAUCAAUAUUUUGUUCCUUAUAAUAUUCUCGGUAGUACGAUAAGUUUUGAAGGAAUUCGAUUACGUCAGUUUCAUUGAUAUCUUGUGUUACUUGUAAGAAUUUCUGUUUUUCUGAUGGGGAGCUCUGUGGGGACGUCUGGGUGCGAAGGGAUAAAGAAAGAUUAAAAAAUAAAUUAAAAUAAAAAGAAAAGGAAGAAAAAUUAUAAUUGAAAAAGAAAAAAAAAAGAAAUUAAUACCAAAAAGGAGAAAACGCAAAAAAUUAAAAAAGAAAUUAGAAUCGAAAAAAAGAUUAAAAUUCAAAAAAAGGAAAAAAGGUGGAAAAAGAAUUAGAAUAAUCAAAAAAGGAAAAUCAGAAAAAAGGAUUAAAAUGGAGAAAAGAAUUCAAGGAAAAAAAAAUGAAGAAGACAAAAAAGAAAAAUAUUACAAACAAAUGCGUAUUGGGAAAUUGUACGGAUAUAUUUCAUAUUUAUAUCGAGUGAUAUCUGUAUCUAAUUUCUGUGAGUCGUUGUAAUAACGAUGUCGCAAAUGUAAACCCAACUUUUAACCGAAUAUUUGUUAUUUCUUUAAUUAUUCACAAUAUUUGAAUAUUUUUAAUCGGCUGUACGAUUUGAUUUUAAUUUCAUUAGCUUGAUUAAAAAACUUGAUUGAGAAUGCGAAUUAACGGAAUAUUUCAGGUUAAUUCUCUAAGCAGUACGAGGCACAAAAAUAUAGAAUCGAGUAAAUUUGUUAGAAAUUCGACUAAAAAUUCGAGUAAAAUUUAUUAAAUCAUAUAUCGAAAUAUACUUAUUACUAUUAUAUUGUUUAAUCAGAUAUAGUUGAUUAGGUGUAAGAUAAUUUUUAUAUGAUAUAACAAUCAAAUUAGUAAUGUUAAUCAUUCGUUAAACGUGAUACAUUUAAUUACAUCAUUGUAAUAAAUAGAGUUAAUUUUCAUAAAAGAGUGAUAUUAAUUAUCGACAUUACUGAUUAAGAUAUUAAGUCAGGGAAAAAAGUUUCUUUUUAUUUUCCUAUUUUGCAUUUUAAUGCAAAAGCGGUUACGAUUUACGAUUGUUUAGAGUAUAGAUCAUAAUUAAUAGUUUGAACGGACGGCAACGGUUGAAUCUCCCCUUCCAUAGGUCAUGAUCAAUUUCACCCAGAAUUGUGCUUCAUGGAUCCUUUCAAGAAUGCUUCAGUUCCGUUCCGUUCCGUUUUAGUAACGAUUUGCAAAUAAAAAUAUGAUCCAUUAAAUGUUUCAUUAAUUAAUCAUGCGGCACACAAACAUUGGAUUUUUAUUCUUCUUCAAUGAUUUAUGUCUGUUUUGUGUACAGUUGGUUCCUUGACAGCAUCAUUUGCAUCACUUACAUGAUACCAUCUAUAUUGGAAACGUUUGAUACAGCUUUGUGCAACGUCCAUUGAUAACGGAUUGGUCAAUAAAUGUCAGAAAUUUCUUUAAGAGCCGGAGUGGCAUCAUUAUCUCUCUUGUAAUAAAAUAUUCAAAUGUA